AGGAGCAGCAGGAGGAGAGAGGAGGAGGAGCAGCAGGAGGAGAAGCGAGGAAGAGCAGGAAACAGACAGCUGCACAAUCAGUAAGCAGAGGCAGGGUCCAUCACAGGGGAAGCUGCGCCAGGGAGCCAAGCUGAGAAA